rnacentral:rRNA from 1 species
UUGCUUCUCGGAUCAGUGGCGGACGGGUGAGUAACACGUGAGCAACCUGCCUUUCAGAGGGGGACAACAGUUGGAAACGACUGCUAAUACCGCAUGACACAUAGGUGUCGCAUGGCACUUAUGUCAAAGAUUUAUCGCUGAAAGAUGGCCUCGCGUCUGAUUAGCUAGUUGGUGAGGUAACGGCCCACCAAGGCGACGAUCAGUAGCCGGACUGAGAGGUUGAACGGCCACAUUGGGACUGAGACACGGCCCAAACUCC